GAGCUGUAAUGAGGUGACCAAUAAUGGGUGCAAUUAAGAUCAGCUGUGCAGGUUAAUUUAGCAUGUGGUUUAACAAGACCAGCUGGCAAUAAUAAGGUUGCUACCUUUUGAGGCAGAAUUUCCAGGCAAGACUUCAAAAUUGGCAUGUCCCAAUCCCAUGUAUCCAUCGCCGGGAGGCUAUUCCAUAACACCUUGCAGCGCAGCAAAAAAUAAUUGACGACGGACAGAAGUCCCCACUUGGGAGAACAUUUUCCAGAAAUCCACAAAAUAGACUAAAGUGGCACCUGAUCACGUUUCACUCCAUUGUAUUGGCUUGGCAGGAGAAAAACAGUCCUGCACGACUCGUUUAGAAGUUGAAUGAUAUUCCACCCUGCAGAUGUAAGGAACUUGUUGUGAACCUCCCAGCCAACAGGAUAAUCAACAUAUCCCAGGAUAUUAUUUAGGAGUGUGCCAACCUCACAAUGUUAGAAAUAGAUUCACCCAUGAUAUUAUUUAUCAUGCAGAUUUGUCAGGACAUUGUAAUUCAUAAAGCUCAUUCUGAAAUACGAUAUCUGUCCCAGGGGAUUCAAUUUAGACCCCAAUUAGGUGUUAGUGAAGGGCUGAAAAAAACAACUGUAAACUCCUGUCUCAAAUAAGACAUGAAGGUCAGUCAAUCAGGAAAAUCAUGGAGUGAGUAGGUGUGUCCAACAUUUUACCGUGUGUGUAUAUAUAUAUAUAUAUAUAUAUAUAUGAUAUGCAUUUACUGCAUGUAAUUAUAUUGGACAUGUUAUCCUUCAUCACAUGCACGUAUAUAUUUUGUAUCCAUUGCAUUUAGCUUACAUUAGGAAGACGUAGCCUAGGCAGUCUAAUCUAGUUACAGUAGAUUGCAUCGUAUCACCUUUCAAUAUUAUUAACGAAUAUAAAACCAUGUUAACUUGAACAUAUAAUUUAAUCAUAUGCACGGGUGUCAUAUUUGUAUGACUGUAUCACAAUGCAAGCCUACUCACUCAAAAAAUACAGCAGCUCUAAUGCAAUAUUAGCUUAGAAACACCACUAUUCUUAAACAGUCAGUAAAAUAGCUGAUUUAGCUGUAAAUGAAAAUCGUAACCUGUAUGUUAUCAUGCAUGCAAACUUGUCAUGUCUACAACAAUGGAGCAGCAAACCAAGCAACAUGCGAGAGGAGGACCCCAUACCAUAGGAUAAUUAUUCUGGUCAGUGUUAACUUCAUUCCUAAUUCAGGUACUGAGGAGCUCGAUUCCGUUACUUGUUCACCUGUUAUUCGUGUCAGAUGUUUCCAUUUUGAGAUAUCCUUGCUGCACAAUUUUCCUACUGCAAUGAAAUGGGUGAUAUUAAAAUCUGACAUCUGUA